UACGGAGGGAGCUAGCGUUGUUCGGAUAUACUGGGCGUAAAGCGCGCGUAGGCGGCUUUGUAAGUUAGAGGUGAAAGCCCGGGGCUCAACCCCGGAACUGCCUUUAAGACUGCAUCGCUUGAAUCCAGGAGAGGUGAGUGGAAUUCCGAGUGUAGAGGUGAAAUUCGUAGAUAUUCGGAAGAACACCAGUGGCGAAGGCGGCUCACUGGAGCUGGUAUUGACGCUGAGGUGCGAAAGCGUGGGGAGCAAACAGG
rnacentral:rRNA from 1 species